UACAGAGGGUGCAAGCGUUGUUCGGAAUUAUUGGGCGUAAAGAGCUCGUAGGCGGUUUGGUAAGUCGGGUGUGAAAUCUCCACGCUCAACGUGGAGGGGCCACUCGAUACUGCCAUGACUCGAGUCCGGAAGAGGAGAGUGGAAUUCCCGGUGUAGCGGUGAAAUGCGCAGAUAUCAGGAGGAACACCGGUGGCGAAGGCGGGUCUCUGGGCCGUUACUGACGCUGAGGAGCGAAAGCGUGGGGAGCGAACAGG
rnacentral:rRNA from 1 species